rnacentral:lncRNA from 1 species
UCAUAUUUUUAUACAGUUUUUUCUCUUUUACUCUUAUUAAAAAAAAAUAACUCUUCCUUAUCAGAUAAUGCAUCCACGUUAUCAUCAUCCCUGUCUUCCACUUUCCCCAAACUGUGCGAAUAGAUUGGGUAUGGAGGUUCUCAUCAAGCCCCACAACAUGCCUUUGUGUCCAAAAACAAUUGGAUGGUUCAACCAAAACUCCACGACACAAUUACACAAUAUUCCCUCCCAGCCGAAAAUAUUAGUUUGGCAAGGAAAAUUAUAGUUUUAGAGUGUAUAAAUAAAACUGUAUCUAUUGAUUAAGCUAUUUCCAUCCCAAGAAAAUGAUGAAUACGUUCCAAAUCUUCUUUUAUUGCAAACUCACUGCUUAGCAACUGAAUAAAAUCUGAAACAAGUGUUGGAGUUGAUCCAGUGAGCAACAUGUCAUCUACAUAAAGAAGUAGAAUUAAUGAGCCAAGUCUCAUUUUUAUGCAGUGCAGCUAGCUCCUUAUCCAUGGCUGCUUUCCAACCAGGGUGUGCUAAGGCAUUUCUGACGUUGUGAGGCUCACAAGGGAUAUGAGAGGAGGUGAUGGUGUUUAGAGCAUACUUAGGAUUCGGUUUUACCACACCUAGUUUAGACCGAGUGACCAAUUGCGCCUUUGAUCAAAAUUUUGGAGUGAGGAUAGAACCAGUUGCGCGCACCUGAAAACCUCACGGUAGUUGUUGUGUGAUCUUCUUUUCAAAGAUAGGUCACCUGUUGUCGCAAUAUAAACUCACGUUCUUGUGAUUCUUGGGCAUAUGCAUUUUUUAGGGCCUCCCAGACUACAUGAGUUGUGUCGAGAAUUGUGAAGUGGAAUGUCUUGUAUUUUCGAAGCUGUUUUGAUUUAAGGUUGUGAAUUUGUUGCGGGAGCAGGAUCUUCAUUUCUGAGAUGCCGACCAAUUCCUGACUUUCUGAGAUAGCCAAGGCUUGCUAACGCCACAAGGGAAAAUUAUUUGGGUGAGUCGAAGAAUGAUAAAAUUGCCAACAUUGAGUGAUAAGGUGGUCAUAGCUAAUGGAAUUAAUGGUUGGAAUUAUAAGAUGGAAGAUAAGACUGGUUGUGAUUGUAACGUUGCCU